rnacentral:lncRNA from 1 species
UGUGUGUUACUUUUAAGCUCCAGUUUCCUCGCCCGGUGCUCCCUUGUGGAUAUUUCUAGAAGUCAUGAUGACCCCUGUGGGAUGCAGAGCUUAGCAUAAAACUUCCCCUAAUGCUGAAGUCUUUGGCAAGGAAAUUCACCACUGCUGAAAGAAAAAAAAAAAGUUUUUAUAUCUUCAAAGCCUUCACAGUCUUUAGCCUUUAUGUUAGGUCCAAAUAAAUUAAGGACCAGAUCAGUAAAUAUUACGUCUUUCUUUCCCCUGCUUAAAUUCUGAACCAAUUGAGAAGCAUAGGAGUUGGACAGGUGACAACUUAAAAAUUCAUCUUUUCUGUGAAUCUAGCUGUUGGAAAUCAUCAGGCAAGUGGGUUUGCUAAAAUUUCACCACCCUGACAUACCCUCCUAUAACUGGACUCCCACAAAGGGUCCUGAUCCUGUGAAACUUGCUGCACAAGAGGAACAGAGCAGCGUUCUCUCUGCCCACAGGUAGAUACCAAAAAGAGAUGCCUAAUUUCAUCUCCCAGAGCCUCCAAAGAAUCAUUCGCCAACUGUGUGAGGACUGAUUGAAGAGGGGUGAAAAACCGGAAAGUGUUACUACAGUGAGGGUCCCCUCACAUAGAAACAUCAGGAGCACAACAAAAGUUCCACCUUAACACCAGGCUGAGGGGCCAUGUCCACCAGGAAA